rnacentral:rRNA from 1 species
CCUACGGGGUGCAGCAGUGGGGAAUAUUGCACAAUGGGGGAAACCCUGAUGCAGCGACGCCGCGUGAGUGAAGAAGUAUUUCGGUAUGUAAAGCUCUAUCAGCAGGGAAGAAAAUGACGGUACCUGAGUAAGAAGCCCCGGCUAACUCCGUGCCAGCAGCCGCGGGAAGACGUAGGGGGCAAGCGUUAUCCGGAUUUACUGGGUGUAAAGGGAGCGUAGAGGGCAGCACAAGUCUGGCGUGAAAUGCCGGGGCUUAACCCCGGAACUGCUUUGGAAACUGUGCAGCUAGAGUGCAGGAGCGGUCAGUGGAAUUCCUAGUGUAGCGGUGAAAUGCGUAGAUAUUAGGAGGAACACCAGUGGCGAAGGCGGCUUACUGGACUGUAACUGACGUUGUGGCUCGAAAGCGUGGGGAGCAAACAGGAUUAGAUACCCCUGUAGUC